rnacentral:rRNA from 1 species
AACGAACGCUGGCGGCAUGCCUAACACAUGCAAGUCGAACGAGACCUUCGGGUCUAGUGGCGCACGGGUGCGUAACGCGUGGGAACCUGCCCUUAGGUUCGGAAUAACUCCCCGAAAGGGGUGCUAAUACCGGAUAAUGUCUUCGGACCAAAGAUUUAUCGCCUUUGGAUGGGCCCGCGUUGGAUUAGCUAGUUGGUAGGGUAAAAGCCUACCAAGGCGACGAUCCAUAGCUGGUCGGAGAGGAUGAUCAGCCACACUGGGACUGAGACACGGCCCAGACUCCUACGGGAGGGAGCAGUGGGGAAUAUUGGACAAUGGGCGAAAGCCUGAUCAAGCAAUGCCGCGUGAGUGAUGAAGGCCUUAGGGUUGUAAAGCUCUUUUACCCGGGAUGAUAAUGACAGUACCGGGAGAAUAAGCACCGGCUAACUCCGUG